AGCUCCAAUAGCGUAUAUUAAUACUGUUGCAGUUAAAAAGCUCCUAGUUGAACUUCUGUCGAAACUUUACAUCCCGCUGUUUCAGUGUGUGUUGUUUAUAGUUUUGGCAUCUUUCUGUUAUGUGGAUUGUACUUCACUGUAUGAUUCGCAUUCAGAACUUUUACUUUGAGAAAAUUAGAGUGUUUCAAGCAGGCUUUCGCCAUGAAUACUGUAGCAUGGAAUAAUAAGAUAUGACUUCGAUCUAUUUUGUUGGUUCUAGGAUUGAAGUAAUGAUUAAUAGGGAUAGUUGGGGGCAUUCGAAUGUACUCGUCAGAGGUGAAAUUCUUAGAUUUUGUACAGACGAACUACUGCGAAAGCAUUUGCCAAGGAUGUUUUCA
rnacentral:rRNA from 1 species